rnacentral:tRNA from 2 species
GGCGCUGUAGGCAAGCGGUCAAGCCCUCUGGCUUUCAACCAGAGUAUCGCGGGUUCGAAUCCCGUCGGCGCUA